rnacentral:rRNA from 1 species
GUGCCAGCAGCCGCGGUAAUUCCAGCUCUGUAAGUGUGCUCCCAUAUUGUUGCAGUUAAAAAGCCCGUAGUCGGAUUUCUAAUGACUAAUUAUUCACUGUGAAUAAAUUAGGACGCUUAAAGUAUGGUUGCAUGAAUACUGUAGCGCAGUAUGAAAGAUUUUGCUCUUGUGGCAAGAUCAAAGAGAGCCAUUGGGGGUAUUUCUAUUUCAUGGCGAGCGGUGAAAUGCGUUGACCCAUGGGAGAGAAACGAAAGCGAAGGCAAAUACCCAAAGGGUUUCUGUCGAUCAAGGGCGAGAGUAGGGGGAGCGAACCGGAUCAGAGACCCGGGUAGUCCCUACUGUAAACGAUGUCGACAGGGGAUUGUCUACUAGUUAGGCAGAACCUUAGCAAAAAUGAUAGUUCAUGGACUCUGGGGGAACUACGACUGCAAGGCUGAAACUUGAAGGAAUUGACGGAAGGGCACACCAGGGGUGGAGCCUGUGGCCUAAUUUGAAUCAACACGGGGAAACUUACCAGAACCAGAUGAUUCGAUGACUUACAUCUAAAAGAGCUUUAAGGAUGGGUUUGAUGGUGGUGCAUGGCCGUUGGUGGUGCGUGGGUUGACCUGUCACGAGUCGAUUCAGUUAACGAGCGAGACUACCGCCAAAUAUUAGCCAAGCUAUACAUUAGUGAAAGCUUCUAUUUGGGACUACCUGUUAUCAAGCGGGAGGAAGAGGGUAGCAAUAACAGGUCCGUGAUGUCCUUUAGAUGCUCUGGGCUGCACGCGUGCUACAAUGUGAAUCACAAAGGAUAAGAAAUCCGAAAGGAUGCAUUACUUCUUGAAAGAUUCACGUAGCUGGGAUUGACAUUUGGAAUCAUUGUCAUGAACCAGGAAUCCCUUGUAAAUGUAUGUCAACACCGUACGUUGAAUACGUCCCUGCCCUUUGUACACACCGCCCGUCGCUCCUACCGAUUGGACGUUUUGGUGAAAAUACUGGACUUUUUUGAAAGGUAUUUAAAUCAGCUCGUCUAGAGGAAGGAGAAGUCGUAACAAGGUAACGGUAGGUGAACCUG